rnacentral:ncRNA from 1 species
AUAAGGGGAUGAAGUUCCCCUCGGCUGAGAGGCCGGAACCGCUUAUGUGAGCUGAUGACUUCUGCGC